rnacentral:rRNA from 1 species
UACGUAGGUCCCGAGCGUUGUCCGGAUUUAUUGGGCGUAAAGCGAGCGCAGGUGGUUUAUUAAGUCUGGUGUAAAAGGCAGUGGCUCAACCAUUGUAUGCAUUGGAAACUGGUAGACUUGAGUGCAGGAGAGGAGAGUGGAAUUCCAUGUGUAGCGGUGAAAUGCGUAGAUAUAUGGAGGAACACCGAUGGCGAAAGCGGCUCUCUGGCCUGUAACUGACACUGAGGCUCGAAAGCGUGGGGAGCAAAUAGG